AAUUUCCGUGGUGCUGAUAUCUAAUUA
rnacentral:sRNA from 1 species